rnacentral:lncRNA from 1 species
AUCCGGCAGGUGUUGCUGGAGGAGAACCGGCAGGUGUUGCUGGAGGAGAACCGGCAGGUGUUGCUGGAGGAGAACCGGCAGGUGCUGCUGCUGCUGCUGCAGCCUUCUUCCUUUUGCUUUUUUUGGAUUUCUUCCUUCACUUAUCCAUUUGUGAUUUCAAGAAUUCGUGCAGCGCAGCAAGACCAAAUAGCCCUUUAAACUUCGCCAACUUCCGUAGUAUAUGCAUGAGCCCAACCUGGUAACCUCUCUCAAACUCCUUUCGUGUUGCCUGGUCAAGCACGACAUGGUAUAGAAACUGACCUUUCAAAGAUAAGAACAUGGGGUGGUACAUGAUCAAAUAUAAGGUGGGCUCUGGCUCUUCAAGCAAUGUCAACCAAUGAGACAGGUCAGAAGGUAAUGUGAUGCGAGGGUACAGAAUGGAGAUGAUCUCCCGAACAAAACCUGCUACGCCUUUGAGAUCUCCGGAAUGCUUCACAAGAGGAGGUUCCUGGGGCAUUCCUUGUUCGUUGUCGACAAAGAAAAAUUUCCCGCUUGGCUUGUGAAUCCUGACAUUGGACAGCAAAAUUCUUGGACCAAGAAAAUUCCCUCUCAAGACAUUUUCCAGGUACAAUUCAGGCAACGACCGGAAAGCCACAGUGGCAGCUCUAGACACCAUCAGAAGAUUCAUUUUAGAAAUUGCCUCUAGAAACGGGUUCUUUUGGGGUGCAUUGCUCGCAGUGGAUUUAUCAUAUGCUUUGCUCGAGGUAGCUUUGCGAGUAAAUUGCUAAAAACCACCACAUUUGUGGCAAGAAUACUGCAAAACCACCACUUUUGUCAAAAAUUUCAAAAAACCACCACUUCCUCGGCAAGUGAGUAACAAAAACCACUAAACGUGCUGUGACCCGCGACUAACUGAGAAUCUGACUUAUCGGGCCCACCUGUCGGAGCCACGUGGCAAAGGGAAAAUGGCAAAGUGGAAACGGCCGUUAGGACCCCGCUAGUUAAGCCCAGCGCGCGCAUGUUAGGGCAUUCCUCCCCAACCGCUCUCUUCUCUGCUCUGCUCCUUCCUUUCUUGCGCCGCACCUCCCGCCGCCGCCGCCGCCAUCGCGAGCAGCUUCGCACCGCUGACGGGAGGGGAGACAUGGUUUCUUGGUCUGAGCCUUCCGACUGUUCCGACUCUUCCUCUGACGAAGAGAGACGGGUAAGAUUCUGCUCUUGUGCAUCUAGGGUUAGGGUUAGGGAGAAAGGGGAAUUUCUUCCCGAUAGCAAUUGACUUCAUUUUCCCUCUGCCUAGGUACCUGCCAAAAUGGAGUGCACGGAAUGGAGCGGCAUUGCUUUGAAUCAUCCUGCACGUUGUGAGCAUCGUGCGCCCUGUGAGAAGUUUGUUGCCUUUGAAUGGACUGACAAUGGUAGGAGGUUCCUUGGGUGUGGAAAAAAGGUGAUUUUCUGACCAGUUCAAUUACUUCUUGAAGUGUUGAAGUGAUUUUCUGAAACAUGUGAAUUCAUUACUGAUAGAAUUGGUCUGAAAUAUGUGAAUCCACUGAAGUGCUGAGUUGACUGAUACAAUAAGUCUGAAAUUAGGCAGUAAAGUAUAUAUCUCUGGCCAUAAAUCUUGAUACAAUAGCAGUAGGUAGUGGAGUACUUUUGUACAUUAAGUCUGAGAUUAGGCAGUUUCCAAUUUCUUAUAGGUUGUGGCCAUUCUGUUUUUAAAUCAUUUUAGCUCUAUAUUUGCUAUCUAGGAGUAGGCAAUGCAGUACUAGAAACAUGGAUAAUUAAUGGAUUGUUGUUUUUUAUUUUUAUCACUAAUGUUUUUAGAAAUUGGUUUAAUUAUAUUUCCUUUGUUCAUACAUUCAUAGGAUGUACCCAAGUGCAACUUUGUGGACUGGAUUGACCCAGAGUGGCCAGUCCAAUUGAAGCAAGCUUUAAAUACCAUCUGGACUAUGAAUGAGGAGGAGUUGACCAAUAGGUUCAGGCAGAAUGUUGUUAAUGCUGAAGAAGUAGUGAAGGUAAGGGAAGAGAAGAGGAAGAUGGAAAAUGACCUGAGGUUUUUUAAAGUUGACUUUGCCAAAAUGGUGGCUGACAAGGAGGAUGCAAUUACCCAGUUAGGCAAUGCAAGGUUGGUUAUUAGUGACCUGAAGGAACAGAUCGAGAGAAAGAACUUGGCUGACAAAUCAGACAUUAACAUUCAUCAAGUGCUGAGGGCCAAAGCAGAGGAAGAGAGAGACCAAGAGAAGGAAGAGAAGGUGAAGCUUGUGCAGGAGAUGGACAAGAUCAAGCAGGAGAGGGCCAUGCUGUUGGAGGAGAAGGAGAAGUGGAAGCAAGAGAAAAGGCACCUGGAGUACACUAUAGGUGAUCUGUUCAAAGAGAAGGAGGCCACCAAGGGGAAGAUCAGGAAGAUCAAAGAGAUAGUUGACGAAUGAUUCAAUGUUAUUGUAGUUGUAUCUGCUAGAGUACUCUAUCUGCUAUUUGUGGCACUAAAAUUGCAAGACAUUUGUACUGAAUUUAAGCUGGAUUAAUUUGUGUUGCUGCAUAAUGCUAUUAUUUUGUGUUGUUGGAUUAAUUUGUGUUGCUGGAUAAUGCUAUAAAUUUGUGUUGCUGGAUUAAUUUGUGUACUGGAUAAUGCUAUUGAUGUAGAUGUAGAUGUACUCCAGGUCUUCCAUAUUUCUGAGGUAUUUUAGCAUCAUCAGCAGGUGAUGUAGAUGUAGAUGUAUAAUUAGAAGUACCAGUUAUUGUUUAGGGAGUAGGUGGUUUUGCUUGUUUUUUGUUUAGGAUGUAGGGUAAGGUUGUUUUGGUUGUCGUCGAGGGUUUGAUGGCCCCAAAUGUAGGGUAGGGUAGUUUAGGUUGUCGUCGAGGGUUCGAUGACCCCUAUUCUAGGGUAGGGUAGUUUAGGUUGUCGUCGAGGGUUCGAUGACCCCUAUUCUAGGGUAAGGUUGUUUUGGUUGUCGUCGAGGGUUUGAUGAUCCCAAAUGUAGGGUAAGGUUGUUUUGGUUGUCGUCGAGGGUUCGAUGACCCCAAAUGUAGGGUAAGGUUGUUUUGGUUGUCGUCGAGGGUUCGAUGACCCAAAAUGUAGGGUAGGGUAGUUUAGGUUGUCGUCGAGGGUUCGAUGACCCCAAAUGUAGGGUACGGUUGUUUAGGUUUUCGUCGACGCUUCGAUGACCCAUAUUCUAAGGUUGUACAAGAAUGACCCAAAACCCACAAUAAUCCUGCUACACUAACAGCAUUUAUGCACUGAAAACCAACAAUAAUUCUGCUACAAUUACAACAUUUAGGCUGCACUCAAAACCAACAAUAAUUCUAGUACAAUAAUUUUGCUAGAUCAACAUAACUCCACAACAGCAUGAAGGCUUGAUCACACAUAACAGAGGUUCACAUAACAUAAAUACCACAUAGGUUUUUAGGACUCAAAUUGAAACAUAGGUUCACAGGACUAAAAUUACCACAUAGGUUCAGAUGACUCAAAUUACACAGGUUCACAUGACUCAAAUUGAAACACAGGAUCAAAGGACUCAAAUCAUCACACAUCCAAGUUUCUCAAGACAGAUACAUGGGUUAUAGCCCCAAAAGUUACAAGCACUGGCAGAUAUCAAAGUUCACACAUUUCCACUUGCUGCGAAGUAGCUCUUCAGUCUUGCAUAUUUCUGAGGUUUCUUCCUUGAACCUGUUGUAGCAUUUGAUGCUCCACCAACUCUUCCACCUCUCACUGACCUCUAUUUUUUAGCAGCAGCAGCAACAGUUGAUGUAGAUGUAGAAGUACCAGCAGCAAAAGAAGUCCUUUCUCCACAUGGAGGCCUAGCUGCUGGCCUUGGUGCUAAGAAAGCGGCCCUUGGUGCCCUAGGAGCAGCUCUUGGUACCCUAGGAGCAGCUCUUGGUGCCCUAGGAGCAGCUCUUGAUGCCAUAGGAGCAGCUCUUGGUGCCAUAGGAGCCGCAGUAGCAUCAGGUGGAGUGUAGGAUUCUGCCUUUUGCCUUCUCUUUUCCUGCAGUUUUUAAAACAAACAAAAAUUAAAAUCUACAUAAGCAAAAUCAGAUACAAUGAUGAAAAAAUAUGUACCAUGCUUCUAUUUUUCCUCAUCUGCAGAUCAGGCCUCAAAGGUUGUCCACAAUUAGUAAACCUGUGGCCCAUUAACCUACAGUUGCCACAUCUGAUUGUAGCCAUCCUAGAGGUAUCUUUUGGUUUAGGCACUUCAAACCUUCCCUUCUUCCUCUUUUCUUCUUUUCUUCCACUCUGGUCCUCUUUGUGGAAUACAGGAGGCUCAAUAUCAGGUUUUCCUGACUUGACCCAAGCAUCUUCUCCAGGAACUGGAUACACUAUUGGUUUGUAUGCCUCCAAAUACAUUGCUUUCCUCAAGAAAGGACUUACAAAAUCCUCAGGUUGCAUCUUGGCCUUGUAAAUUGCACUGCAAGCAUGGUUGCAUGGCAAACCUGACAUGUCCCACUUCCUGCAUCCACAAGUGUGCUCCUCAAGGUUCAGAGCAUAGGUCUUUGGCCCACUGCUUACUUGCCACAGGUUAGGCCCUGCCCUAAUUGCUUUGCAAUCUCUUUGAAACUUCUUGCUCAUCUCCAGUUGUCCUGCAUAUGUUGGAGCUAUUUCCCAUCUAGAAGCUGCUGCAUUUUCUCUUUUUCCAUCAAACCUGACUAGCAACUUGUCUUUGAUUCCAUUAAUCAUUGUCACUAUUGGUUUGUUUCUAACAUCCAAGAUAUAUUUAUUGAAGACCUCACUUAUGUUAUUAACCACCAGGUCUGUUUUGCAAUUUGUGUCCAUUUCAUGCCUAGCCCAUGUGUGUACUGGAAUACCAGAUAACCACCUCCAUGCAUCCUCACACUCAUUCUUCAAAUUGGCCAUGGCUACAUCAAAACCAUGCUUUGUGUAGGAAUAGCUAGCACUGUCCAUGCAUUUUUUCAGAUCUUCACCUCUAAAUCCAGCUCUUUGAAAAUUUGCAUAAAUGUGCCUUAAACAAAAUCUUUGUGGGCAGUUUGGAAAUACAGCAUUGACAGCAUUAAGCAGGCCCUGAUUUCAACCAAAAAUAAAGUAACUAGGUUUCAAUCUUAAGUUCAAACAAUCACUAACUAAUAAACAAAAACAAUUUGAGCAUACUUAAGGCAGAAAAGAAAGUAACUAGGUUUCAAUCUUAACUUCAAACAAUCACUAACUAGGUUUGAAUCUUAAGUUCAAACAAUCACUAACUAGUAAACAAUUAGAGCAUACUUAAGGCACAAAAGAUAAUAUGUAGGUUUGAAAGAGAACAUAGAUCACUAACCUUCUGCCUAUCUGACAUGAUGGUGUAUUUGCCAAACUUCCCCUCUUAUGUGCCUCCCAGAGCAUACUUAAGUUGGGUGAGAAACCAGCUCCAACUGGGUGUGUCCUCCACUCCUACAAUUCCAAAAGCAAUGGGAUACAUGUUGUUGUUGGCAUCCCUACCAGUAGCUGCUAGGAUUUGUGCUCCAGUUGUAAGCUUUAUGAAGCAUCCAUCCAAACCAAUGAAAGGCCUACAUCCAUUUAGAAAACCCUCCCUAGGUGCAUUGAGACAAAAGAAAAGACCAUGGAACCUAGGACCUGGAUGUGGGUUUUCAUUUGUGCUUUUAGGAGUGACAGUUGUGACAAUGCAUCUAGAUCCUGGAUUGCAUAAUUUAACUGUUUCAAUGUAAUCAGACAACCUAUGGUACUGCUUCUUAUGAUCCCCUAGGACAAUUUCCUUUGCUACCUUUUUAGCUCUCCAUGCCAUCAUCUUUGGAACUUCAAUUCCAAAUUUCCUCUUUGCCUUGUCCACCAAUGCUGGCACAGUUGUGUUUGGGUCUGAUCUGAUUGUCUCUAAGAUACUGCUUCCUAGCCACUUUGAGCUCACUUUACUAUGUUUGUCACUAGUUGGGCAAGUAUGUUCUGCUCUGAACUUCUUUACACAAAAUGUUUGCUCAUUCUUGAUCUAAGAAGCAACAAUAUAAAAAGGACAUCCUUUGUCCUUGUGGUCACACCAAGCAAUGACCCUGUCUUUGCAGUUCCUGUGAUAUCUGAAAGACCUCAGCUGCUUGAUGUGAAAGUUAAGUAGAGCACUCCUAAAUUGGUACACAUCUUUGAAACAUAUCUUCAAACUAAAUUGCUGUUCUGGAUUGAGUCUGCUUUCAUCAUACCAUUUUCUUGGCUUUGCCUUCUCUGCUCUUGUCUUCCUUCCUAAGGGAAUAAUAAAAUACAUAGGCUCAUUGCCAUCAUCAUCCUUUGAGUCCAAAAAACCAAGAUUUUCAUCCUCAUCACCUGAGGGAAACCAGUCAGGCUCAAUUGGAUCAUUGGCUGAUGAGUGUGUUCUUGUUGUUGGGCCCACUCUCUUUCCAAUUUAAGCACAGGCUGCUGCAAUACUCCAUCUUCAUUCAAAUGUUCUUCUUCAGCUACAUUUGGAGCUUGUUCACUGUGCUCUUCCUCUUCCUGCUCCUCGGGAACAUCAUAGAUGUCCUCUGGUCUGUGUCACCCUCAAAGUGCAGUGCUGCCUUCUUCAUAUCUGCUACAGUUGACUGCAGGUCUGCACUAUCUUCAUUAGAGCUAUUUUCAUCCUCACUUUCUGAAUCCAAAUCCAUGUCAUCCAUGUCUGCAUAAUUGGCCCUGUCAGGAGGUGGCAUAGUUUGGAUGGGCUGGAAAUUUACACUUUGUUGUGUGGCCAGGAACAAAUUUUCAUUUGUGCCUCUGCCUGAACUUGAACCAACAUAAUCACCAAAUUCCUUAUGGGCCACACCAUUUUCACUUACUGCAAACACUAUAUCAAGAUCACUGAUAUAUUCUUCAUCAUAUAUUUGAAUUGGUUCUGCUGCCUUUCUCUUUCCCUUCUUUGCUGGAGACAAAACAAUUGCCUGCUGCCUCUUGCCCUUAGUAACUGACAAUGUUAUCCUCCUGAUGUCCUGGUAUUGCUUAAGCAUUUCAUCCACCUUAAUCUGGCUGUCAAGCAGUUUAAAACCAUCCAAUCCUAUUCCACCACAUCUCAUGUAAUAUAGGUAGUCUAAAAAACUAUACCCAUUGUCAAGCAGCACAUUCAUAAGAUUGUAAUAUCUUAUGUUUUUCUUAAAGAACUUUGUCCUGAUGUAUUUAAUCCCUUCAAAAUCAAUAUGCACGUCCCACUUCUCAUAGCUCGACCUACAAUACCAAUUAAAAUGUACAAGUUACUAUAACAUAAAUUUGAACAACACAUAGUACAACUGGAAUGUAAUCCUAAUAGUGUAAUUACCUAAAUUUGUAUAACACAAGUACACUGCAAUCCUAACAAUGUAAAUAUGCACAACAAUUGUAGAGCAAGAUAAUUGUAGGUUCUAGUCUGUACUCAAACCCUAGUCAGGACUAAAUUCAGAGGCAAUACAAAACCCUAGAUCGACCUAAACCUCAAGAACGAAAAUUCAGAGGCAGAAGGAGCUUGAGAUAGAGGACGUACGUGUCGUCGCCGGUGUUAGUAGGGACGACUGCUGCAUCAGACGGCGACCGCGACGCAGCGGAAGCCUUGCCUGCACGGCAAGAACAUGGCGGCUCUUCCUCAUCGGGUUGGUCUCCCGCGCCUUCAGCUUGAAUGGAUCUGGAUCCAAAUGGAGCAGCAGGCGGCGCCGCCGCCCCGCCGUCGCCGCGACACCCGCCCUCUGCCCGCGCCACGGUGAUAGCGGGCUGUCCUCUGAGGAGGAGGACUCAUAGUCGACCCCAAGCAGGUCCCGCCCGCGACUCCGUCUGGAUCUGGAGCCGCCGUCGUCUCCACCCUCGACAUCGCCGGAGGGAGUAGUUGCCAUGGUUGCGCGCGCAACAGAGAAGAGAGGGAGGGGGAUGAGAGCACCAGGGCCAGUGCGCUGGGCUUAACUAGCGGGGUCCUAACGGUCGUUUCCCUUUGCCGUUUUCCCUUUGCCACGUGGCUCCGACAGGUGGGCCCGAUAAGUCAGAUUCUCAGUUAGUCGCGGGUCACAGCACGUUUAGUGGUUUUUGUUACUCACUUGCCGAGGAAGUGGUGGUUUUUUGAAAUUUUUGACAAAAGUGGUGGUUUUGCAGUAUCCUUGCCACAAAUGUGGUGGUUUUCAGCAAUUUACUCGCAAAGCUACCUCGAGCAAAGCAUCUGAUAAAUCCACUGCGAGCAAUGCACCCCAAAAGAACCCGUUUCUGGAGGCGAUUUCUAAAAUGAAUCUUCUGAUGGUGUCUAGAGCUGCCACUGUGGCUUUCCGGUCGUUGCCUGAAUUGUACCUAGAAAAUGUCUUGAGAGGGAUUUUUCUUGGUCCAAGAAUUUUGCUGUCCAAUGUCAGGAUUCACAAGCCAAGCGGGAAAUUUGUCUUUGUCGACAAUGAACAAGGAAUGCCCCAGGAACUUCCUCUUGCGAAGCAUUCCGGAGAUCUCAAAGGCGUAGCAGGUUUUGUUCGGGAGAUCAUCUCCAUUCUGUACCCUCGCAUCACAUUACCUUCUGACCUGUCUCACUGGUUGACAUUGCUUGAAGAGCCAGAGCCCACCUUAUAUUUGAUCAUGUACCACCCCAUGUUCUUAUCUUUGAAAGGUCGGUUUCUAUACCAUGUCGUGCUUGACCAGGCAACACGAAAGGAGUUUGAGAGAGGUUACCAGGUUCGGCUCAUGCAUAUACUACGGAAGUUGGCGAAGUUUAAAGGGCUAUUUGGUCUUGCUGCGCUGCACGAAUUCUUGAAAUCACAAAUGGAAGAAAUCCAAAAAAAGCAAAAGGAAGAAGGCUGCUGCAGCAGCAGCAGCACCUGCCAGUUCUCCUCCAGCAACACCUGCCGGAUCUCCUCCAGCAACACCUGCCGGAUCUCGUCGUCGCAGAAGUCGAAGAAGCGGAAGAUCAAGCACUGGGAACAACAUUCAGUCGGCAGAAGAGUUCGAUAGGCAGAUGCAGGAGCUCAGUGAUGGGCAAGAUGUGGUGUCCUUCAUUCGAGACUGCCCAGUCCAUGGAUGCGAAAACAUGUGCUUGCAAUUUCUGUUUGUGGAGACUAAUAUGCUCAGUCAGGAAGCCAUCGUGCAGCUUCUACACUUUAUAUUUCGUGAUUAUGGUCAUGAAGCACUGGAGGCAUUUUACAAGGCUGGCAUGUCCGGUGUGGUGGGCAUCGAAGGGUUGUUUGGGGAGGAGCCCAAUACUUGGCAGGAGGCUAUGCGUCUCUUCACCAGCGUCUCUUCACCAGUUGAUGUUUUUCAGUUACUUCCUAUCCAGGCCUUUUUCUCUCUUCUUGAUGAUGACAAUGCCGAUUCAUGAAGACGUGUCCUUCAGACGACGUCGACUGGUGAAGAGACGCUGGUGAAGAGACGCAUAGCCUCCUGCCAAGUAUUGGGCUCCUCCCCAAACAACCCUUCGAUGCCCACCACACCGGACAUGCCAGCCUUGUAAAAUGCCUCCAGUGCUUCAUGACCAUAAUCACGAAAUAUAAAGUGUAGAAGUUGCACGAUGGCUUCCUGACUGAGCAUAUUAGCCUCCACAAACAGAAAUUGCAAGCACAUGUUUUCGCAUCCAUGGACUGGGCAGUCUCGAAUGAAGGACACCACAUCUCGCCCAUCACUGAGCUCCUGCAUCUGCCUAUCGAACUCUUCUGCCGACUUGAUGUUGUUCCCAGUGCUUGAUCUUCCGCUUCUUCGACUUCUGCGACGACGAGAUCCGGCAGGUGUUGCUGGAGGAGAUCCGGCAGGUGUUGCUGGAGGAGAACCGGCAGGUGCUGCUGCUGCUGCAGCAGCCUUCUUCCUUUUGCUUUUUUUGGAUUUCUUCCUUCACUUAUCCAUUUGUGAUUUCAAGAAUUCGUGCAGCGCAGCAAGACCAAAUAGCCCUUUAAACUUCGCCAACUUCCGUAGUAUAUGCAUGAGCCCAACCUGGUAACCUCUCUCAAACUCCUUUCGUGUUGCCUGGUCAAGCACGACAUGGUAUAGAAACCGACCUUUCAAAGAUAAGAACAUGGAGUGGUACAUGAUCAAAUAUAAGGUGGGCUCUGGCUCUUCAAGCAAUGUCAACCAGUGAGACAGGUCAGAAGGUAAUGUGAUGCGAGGGUACAGAAUGGAGAUGAUCUCCCGAACAAAACCUGCUACGCCUUUGAGAUCUCCCGAAUGCUUCGCAAGAGGAGGUUCAUGGGGCAUUCCUUGUUCAUUGUCGACAAAGACAAAUUUCCCGCUUGGCUUGUGAAUCCUGACAUUGGACAGCGAAAUUCUUGGACCAAGAAAAAUCCCUCUCAAGACAUUUUCCAGGUACAAUUCAGGCAACGACCGGAAAGCCACAGUGGCAGCUCUAGACACCAUCAGAAGAUUCAUUUUAGAAAUAGCCUCCAGAAACGGGUUCUUUUGGGGCGCAUUGCUCGCAGUGGAUUUAUCAGAUGCUUUGCUCGAGGUAGCUUUGCUAACCAACUUGUUGGACAAUAUAGACUCAAAAAUUGGAUUCUCU